UAUUUGAAUAACACUUGGUAUUUAUGUAGCUUAUAUCAAGACAAAGGCUGGGAUUGAUUUUGGGGUUUCUGGGGUCAAGGUCAAGGUCACUGUUACUUAAAAUAGAAAAAGAGUUUCCGGUCAAUAACUUAACUUAGGAAUGAGCUAUCAUGAUGAAACUUGGUGUAUAGAAAACUUAUAUAAAGUUGUAGCUUGGGAUUGAUUUUGGGGUUUCUGGGAUCAAGGUCAAGGUCAUUGUUACUAAAAAUAGGGUUAGGGUUAGGUUAGGGUUAGGGUUAGCAUAUCUUCUACAUGCAUGGAGGGAUUUUGAUGAAAGUUGGCACAAUUGUUCACCAUCAUGAGACGGAGUGUCAUGCACAAGAACCAGGUCCCUAGGUCUAAGGUCAAGGUCACACUUAGAGGUCAAAGGAUACAAGAAUGAAAACUUUGUCCGGAGCAUAUCUUCUUCAUGCAUAGAGGGAUUUUGAUGUAACUUGGCACAAUUAUACACCAUCAUGAGAUGAAGUGUCUUGCGCAGUUCCCUUCUUUAGAAUUACUUCCCUUUGUUGUUACUAUAAAUAGCUUGUAUUGUAACUUUUUCAUUACUAGACGUAGGGAAAAAUCGAGACCACUUUUCUGUAGUACAACAUGCAUGUUACAUCCAAU